AGUGAACGCUGGCGGUAGGCCUAACACAUGCAAGUCGAACGGCAGCACAGUAAGAGCUUGCUCUUACGGGUGGCGAGUGGCGGACGGGUGAGGAAUACAUCGGAAUCUACUUUUUCGUGGGGGAUAACGUAGGGAAACUUACGCUAAUACCGCAUACGACCUACGGGUGAAAGCAGGGGAUCUUCGGACCUUGCGCGAUUGGAUGAGCCGAUGUCGGAUUAGCUAGUUGGCGGGGUAAAGGCCCACCAAGGCGACGAUCCGUAACUGGUCUGAGAGAAUGAUCAGCCACACUGGAACUGAGACACGGUCCAGACUCCUACGGGAGGCAGCAGUGGGGAAUAUUGGACAAUGGGCGCAAGCCUGAUCCAGCCAUACCGCGUGGGUGAAGAAGGCCUUCGGGUUGUAAAGCCCUUUUGUUGGGAAAGAAAAGCAGCAGGUUAAUACCCCGCUGUUCUGACGGUACCCAAAGAAUAAGCACCGGCUAACUUCGUG
rnacentral:rRNA from 1 species